rnacentral:rRNA from 1 species
UACAGAGGGGGCGAGCGUUAUUCGGAAUUAUUGGGCGUAAAGGGCGCGUAGGCGGCUUUUCAAGUGACGGGUGAAAUCCCUCGGCUUAACCGAGGAACUGCCUGUCAGACUGGAAGGCUUGAGACCGGGAGAGGUGAGUGGAAUUCCCAGUGUAGCGGUGAAAUGCGUAGAUAUUGGGAGGAACACCAGUGGCGAAGGCGGCGUUCUGGACUGCAACUGACACUGAGGAACGAAAGCCAGGGGAGCAAACGGG